rnacentral:rRNA from 1 species
UACAGAGGGUGCGAGCGUUGUUCGGAAUUAUUGGGCGUAAAGGGCGCGUAGGCGGUGCGGUAAGUCACCUGUGAAAUCUCCUGGCUCAACUGGGAGCUUGCAGGCGAAACUGCCGUGCUGGAGUGUGGGAGAGGUGCGUGGAAUUCCUGGUGUAGCGGUGAAAUGCGUAGAUAUCAGGAGGAACACCUGUGGCGAAAGCGGCGCACUGGACCACAACUGACGCUGAGGCGCAAAAGCUAGGGGAGCAAACAGG